rnacentral:ncRNA from 1 species
UAAAGGUUUGGUCCUAGCCUUUUUGUUAGUUAUUAAUAGGAUUACACAUGCAAGCCUCCGCCCACCGGUGAAAAUGCCCUCUAAGUCGCUAACCGACCUAAAGGAGCGGGUAUCAAGCACACAAAACGUAGCUCACAACACCUUGCUCAGCCACACCCCUACGGGAUACAGCAGUGAUAAAAAUUAAGCCAUGAAUGAAAGUUCGACUAAGCUAUAUUAAACCAGGGUUGGUAAAUUUCGUGCCAGCCACCGCGGCCAUACGAUUAACCCGAACUAACAAACCCACGGCGUAAAGCGUGUCACGGAAACAACCUCGCACUAAAGUUAAAUUUUAGCUAAGCUGUAAAAAGCUAUAGCUAAUAUAAAAAUAUAACACGAAAGUAACUUUAAUAACUCCAACCCCACGACAGCUAAGACCCAAACUGGGAUUAGAUACCCCACUAUGCUUAGCCCUAAACCCAGAUAGUUAUUAAACAAAACUAUUCGCCAGAGAACUACUAGCAACAGCUUAAAACUCAAAGGACUUGGCGGUGCUUCACACCCCUCUAGAGGAGCCUGUUCUAUAAUCGAUAAACCCCGAUAUACCUCACCAUCUCUUGCUAAUUCAGUCUAUAUACCGCCAUCUUCAGCAAACCCUAAUAAAGGAGAAACAGUAAGCACAAUUACCCUUACAUAAAAAAGUUAGGUCAAGGUGUAACCCAUGAGAUGGGAAGCUAAUGGGCUACAUUUUCUAUGCCAGAACACCAUCUACGAAAGCCCUCAUGAAACUAAGGACUAAAGGUGGAUUUAGUAGUAAGCUGAGAAUAGAGUGCUCAGUUGAAUCGGGCCAUGAAGCACGCACACACCGCCCGUCACCCUCCUCAAGUGAAACAAACUCAAAGACAACCUAUUCAAACCACGACAAACACAAGAGGAGACAAGUCGUAACAAGGUAAGCAUACUGGAAAGUGUGCUUGGAUAAAA